rnacentral:tRNA from 1 species
GGGCCUGUAGCUCAGUGGUCAGAGCGGUUGCCUCAUAAGCAGCUGGUCGCCGGUUCAAAUCUCGGCCGGGCCCACCA